rnacentral:rRNA from 1 species
CCUACGGGUGGCAGCAGUCGAGAAUCAUUCACAAUGGGGGAAACCCUGAUGGUGCGACGCCGCGUGGGGGAAUGAAGGUCUUCGGAUUGUAAACCCCUGUCAUGUGGGAGCAAAUUAAAACGAUCGUACCACAAGAGGCAGAGACGGCUAACUCUGUGCCAGCAGCCGCGGUAAUACAGAGGUCUCAAGCGUUGUUCGGAAUCACUGGGCGUAAAGCGUGCGUAGGCUGUUUCGUAAGUCGUGUGUGAAAGGCGCGGGCUCAACCCGCGGACGGCACAUGAUACUGCGAGACUAGAGUAAGGGAGGGGGAACCGGAAUUCUCGGUGUAGCAGUGAAAUGCGUAGAUAUCGAGAGGAACACUCGUGGCGAAGGCGGGUUCCUGGACAGUAACUGACGCUGAGGCACGAAGGCCAGGGGAGCGAAAGGGAUUAGAUACCCCGGUAGUC